AAUAGGGCCUCCCUCUGCUCAUGAAAACCAGCCCACCUGACCCUGCAGCUCUGCACAGGAGCCCAGCCCUGGACUCCCAGCUCAGCCCCCUCAGUGAUCAGGACUGAACACAGCUGCUCACCAUGGAGAGUGUGCUCAGCUGGGUUUUCCUGGUGGCUGUUUUCAAAGGUGUCCAGUGUGAGGUGCAGCUGGUGGAGUCUGGGGGAGGCCUGGUGCAGCCUGGGGGUUCCCUGCGACUCUCCUGUGCAGUCUCUGGAUUCACCUUCAGUAGCUACUACAUGACCUGGGUCCGCCAGGCUCCAGGGAAGGGGCUGGAGUGGAUCUCAUCCAUUAGUACAGGUGGCAGUAGUACUUAUUAUGCUGAUUCUGUGAGGGGCCGAUUCACCAUCUCCAGGGACAACUCCAAGAACAUGCUGUACCUGCAAAUGAGCAGUCUGAGAACUGAGGACACAGCCACCUAUUAAUGUGC